rnacentral:lncRNA from 1 species
AUAGAAUCACCAAUACCUGCUACCAAUAGGGGGCCUGCUACCAAGUACUUCUUGGAUGUUUCAGAAAACAACUACAAGAAUCUUUUCAUUUUGAGGACUGUCCUCUGAAUCUCUGAUGAAAGCAAAUAGGAGAUACAUACCCAUGGAACAAUACAAAUAAAUAGAUAACAUCACAAAUAUUUCAAUAUUUCAAUACUCAAUAGAGUACAUUGAUAUCAUCAAGCUUAAUCAACCCUGCACAGUUUAUUGCUUCUGACUGCCUUGCAGACAUAGGUCACCGAAAACUAUGUUUGACCUGUGCCCCUGAUUUUACCCCUAAAGACUCCAGCUUUAGCAGAGGCUGGUGACUUUUGUUUUCCAGGACAGUCUAUUUUCCUGGGUGAUAUAAUUAAAAUAUGAUAAGAUUUUUUUUUUUGAAGGACAAUAGGGAGUCUUUGUCCCAAAAAGAAAAUCUACACCUUCAGGUGUGCCUGUGGCCACUGCAUCAGGACCCCGCCCUUCACACGCGUUAUUCCAUUCUGAAAAUGUCCGAACACUUUCUUAUUUUCCAUGUCCCAGUCUUUAAACUGGAUUGAAGGAGGAAGUUGAAGCUACAGCAUUUGAUGAGAGUGGUAAUGAGGGUGGCAUGUGCAGUUCAACUGUAGCUUCUUACUAUGUAGAGUAUCCGUGUUCUAAAGCGAAGCCUUGUGUGAUCACAGUUCCAGAAAACUGAGGAAUUCAAUGACUCAGAUACUCAGUAACAAUUAAAAAGUUCUUCAUUUAGUGUUUCAGCAGAGCGGGGAGGAGACAGAUUUCCUCCUGUGCAGCCCUGCUUAAGGCGGCCAGUCCCUG